ensembl:lncRNA
AAUGGAAUGGAAUCUUCAAGGCCAAGUUCCAGGACAAAGUACAUUCAUCUGUUCAUUGCGAGUCUGGCCACAGGACAGAGCACUGCAUAUUGUUUUGUGAGAGAAUUAAUCAGCGACGUUUGUCCUUAACGAGACUUAAUCAAGUAGCCUUUAGAUGGAUAUAUCACCAUUCUUCAAAGAUCACAUGGAGUCGUUAUCCGGCAAGCAAACAAACAGCCUUUUUCAAGGCUUCCAGCCUAUUUUGGCGCUUCACGUCUCGGGACUCCUCCCAACGGAUACAAGGUGAACAUGGCACUUUCUCGUGCCCGGGAUGAAGUGCACUACCUGAAAAGGAAGGUGAGCGAACUCACUGCUCACACUGAAACUGGGAGGUGCAGUUUGACCAACCUGUUAAAAGGCAAAGAUCUUGCCUAUGAGCAGACAAGAACAGAAAUAAGUUUUCAGACCUCAUCAGGGAGAACAAGGGUUUUCUCUGAAGCUCCACAGAGACCACCGAACAACUCGUUGUCAAAAAUGCUGAACCCACGGUCCAGGAGCAGGCCAACAACCAACGGUUGAAAGCAGAACACAAACUGCUGAAGAGCAAGACAGAGGCUCUGGCUGAGGUUAUCGGGGAAAACUAGAGUUUGCUUCUGAAGCUCUUUGAGUACGGCCGACAACUCUUCGUCAAAAGUGCUGAACUCACGGUCAACAAAGAGACCUGGCAGCAGAAGUUGGAGGAAAACAGAUUCAAGGAACUGGAUUACCAACAACAGUCCUUGGAGUAAGUAACAGGGUUACUCUCCACCAACAUUUCUCUUCAAGAAGAGCUGCACAAGGAGCAGGCCAACAACCACCAGUUGGUAGAAGAACACAAACUGCUAAAGAUCAAGACAGAGGCUCUGGAUGAGACUAUCAGGGAGAACGAGGGUAUAUCUCUGAAGCUCACCGAGACCAAAAAAAAACUUUCUGUCAUAAGUGCUGAUCUCAGGGUCAACAACGAGACCUGGCAGCAGUUGGAAGCAGAAAACAAACUGCUGAAGACCCAGAGGGAUUCUCUGGCUGCUUUAAAAAAGAGCCACCACCAUGAGGAGACCCACCACGAGAUGGUCACAAGCAGUGGUUUUGUGGUUUCACUGAGUUGUGUCUGAUCUCUAAGAUCCAACAAACGGAGGAUACCAUUCCCAAAGAAUAUCAGAUCCUUAUCACCAGGAUCCAAGAAUUAGAGGAGGACAAAACAGUCCUUGAAAACAUCUGCCUCGACUUAAAGAAACGGACCGGCAGACGGAGAUGGACAAAAUGAGGCGCAAGAUGCAGGACAAGGAGACAAAGAAAUAGGAGAGAGAAGAAAAGGAGAUAAUCCAGGACGUCAACAUCAUCGUGCCUGAGACUAGACACCUGUAAGAACACCUUCCUCUACCUCCCACUCCAUCCUACCUCAUCCAUCUACCCUGAAAAAAAAAUAUUCUGAAAAAGAAAAAAACGGCAGACGGAGAUGGACAAGAUGAGGCACAAGAUUGCGGACAAGGAGACAAAGAAAUAGGAGAGAGAAGAGAAGAAAUAGGAGACCAUCCAGGACGUCAACAUCAACGUGCCUGAGACUAGACACCUGUAAGAACACCUUCCUUCACCUCCCACUCCAUCCUACCUCAUCCAUCUACCCUGAAAAAAAAAAUUCUAAAAAAAAAAAAGGACCGGCAGACGGAGAUGGACGAAAUGAGGCACAAGCUCCAGGACAAGGAGACAAAGACAUAGGAGAGAGAAGAGAAGAAAAAGGAGACUAUCCAGGACGUCAACAUCAACGUGCCUGAGACUAGACAUCUGUAAGAACACCUUCCUUCACCUCCCACUCCAUCCUACCUCAUCCAUCUACCCUGAAAAAAAAAAUUCUGAAAAAAAAAAAAAAAAAAAAGACCGGCAGACGGAGAUGGACGAAAUGAGGCACGAGCUCCAGGACAAGGAGACAAAGACAUAGGAGAGAGAAGAGAAGAAAAAGGAGAC